AAGCUGAGCAGAAAGAAGCUGCAAAAAAGAGGAUGGAGGCUGAGAAAAAAAAAAGGAGGAAGAAGAUAAAACUGAAACAAUGAGGAAGGAAGCUGAGAAAAAGAAAACAAGAGGAAAAUGAUGAAAACAAGAGGAUGGAAAACAAGAGGAUGGAGGCUGAGAAAAAAAAGGAGGGAGAAGAUAAAGCUGAAACAAUGAGGAAGGAAGCUGAGAAAAAGAAAAAGAAGAAGAUGAUGCCACAAAAGCAAUUAGCACAGUCGUUGAAGAUCUAAAUGCUUCCGAGAGUGAAGGUCAAACCAAUAGUGGCAAUGGAAGAAAAAGAGGAAGGAAAACAUCAGCUAACAAGAAGAGGACCAUUCCAACUAUAACUAUCGAUGAAUCACUACAAAAGCAGUUACACAAGAUAUCAGAUUCGUACAAACCAAAAAUAAAUACAAGAUCAAUGGUGAAAGUGUCAGAAAAAGUUUCUGCUGAAAUUGUUAGCAAAGAAGAAUUUGAAGGCAAAGAUGUCUCUGAAGUUACUUCAAAAGUAACAAAUACUCCAAAGAAAAGGAAAGGGGCUGAGAAAGAAGAUGUGCCUGAGCCUGAUGAUGUUGAGAUCAUAAAACCAUAGAAGCAAAAAGGAGUUGAGAAAAAAUUAUCUGUUAAGGCAAGAAUUCUUCCUGCUAGGACAUGAAUGAAAAGAAGCAAGAAAAAUGAUAUUGAAGAAGUGAGAGAUGAACAGCAUAAAGGACAUGGAAAAGUUACUGUUCAGGGGAAAAGGAAGAUACAAGCUGGUUUGAAAAAAGGAACAAGAAGAAGAGGUACAAGAAGAAGAGGAAGAAGAGGAAGAGGAGGUAGAGAACGAAGGCGAGGAAUGGGAGGAAGAAGAAGACAAAGAACAAAAAAGGAUGAAAAAAUGUAUACUUAAUAUACUAAAAUGUUAAAGGUUGUAUUACAUAUUUAUCAAAGCUUCUUAACUGUAUGUUCUUUUCUAACAGACCGAACACUAGCGGUGAAAGAGAGGUUUCACAUUUUUGAAAAACAAAAACAAAAAAUAGCAUUAACAAGAACAACACCAAAAGCAAGACUACAUGCUGAAAAGAAAAGGAAGAGGAAAAUAACCGAUGAGGAUUAUGAGGUGAAGGAAGAGAAUGAAGAUGAUGAUAUUCAGAACUCAGAAAACGGUCAAAAUAAACAUACUUGAAUGUGUGUGUGUAAUUUUUUUUUAUUCUUAUUGUUCCUGCAUUAAUUUUUUGUUUUGUUAAUCAGCUUUAAUUGUGAAACGGGAGGUUUUCCCUUUGGCAAUCAUUACCAAAGAAGUUCCUGCAAGAAAAAAAGGAAAGAAGACAAUCACUAUUUUCAAGGAGAAAGUAGAGGAAGAAGAGGAAGAAAAAACUGGUGUUAGAGGAGGACAUGGAAAAUUCAUUAAUUUCAUUUCCAUGAUGAAUGAAGAGAAGAAGGAGGUCGUUCGAAAUAUUGUUCUAGGACCAUUGCUAGAUUUCCAGCUACCUACUUCAUCCCAACAAUUUGUUACAUGGCUGUGUAACAACUUUGAGGAAAACAGUCAAUAUCUAUAUCUACCGAAGAAUGAAAAAAUUCUAAUAGAAUUUGAGGAUGUAGAAAAGAUUUAUGGCCUUCCUAGGGGUGAAGUAGACAUAGUUGAGGCAAAGUCUGACAAGGCUAGUGAAGAAUUUUCUGAAUUCAUGGCAAGAUGGAAGAAGAUCUUCAUAUAUAAAAGUGGAAUCCUCUUGGGAAUAAGGUCCCAUCAGUUCAGAAAAUUUUGAAGUACUACAGUCAAUAAGACCAAAUUAAGGCUGGACCGGAUGCAAAUUUCAUUACAAGCUUCUUGGUGGUCACUGUCAACACGUUGAUCAAGAGCACGUUGUCAAACCAAGCAUACUAGAAAUUUUUGUUCUCAAUGAUGAAUCAUGGGCAGAUCAGGAACUUAAACUGGUGCAAGUAUGUAUGGGAUGCACUGCUCUCAACUACUGCACGGUAUAAAAAAAACCUGAAGGAAAAGGCCAAAGCAGCAUUUUUCACAGGAUCAUUGCCAUUAUUGACGAUUUUCUAUUUUGACAGAGUUCAAAGAAUGAACUUUUUCCCUCCAAGACGAAUUCCACUUGUGUCCUGCUGGACAAAGGAAAUAGGACAAAAAUGGAAUAAAUUGGAGGAAAUUGGCUUUGGAUUGGGGAAGGUGUUACCCAAAAUCAAUAUUGAACAAAA